ensembl:lncRNA
AUUAUAGCUAAGCAAAGUUUGGAAAAUCUUAAUGUUUUAGAUUGAACACAUUAAGUUACACUAUAAUUUACUUUGCACUUUACAAAUUUUAUUAAAUAAUGGGCACUUCUAAUGUUCAUUAUCUUAUAUACAGUAUUUAAACUAUGCUUCCCAGGUGCAUUUUCCCACAAAGAAUAAGUAUGUGAAAAAAAUUUGAUUCUCUCAUACAGGAACCUAAUAAGAACUUUAAAGUACAUGUAACUUUUCCCUCAAUUAUAUAUACAUCCCUAUCCCACCUUGAAAAGAAACUCAUUCAAACAAAAGCAUUUAAAUGAUAGCUGAGGAAACAUACAAACAUGAUUAUAAUAUGUACACACAGCUCUCAAAAUCUGCAUCCUGGUCCACAGAAGUCAUCUAUAAAAUUGCAGAUUUGUCCUAGAACCUGAAGGACCACACAGUUUGUGCAGGGGGCUGCAUCCCUAUGGGUGACACCAAAGUUUGUACAAGGAGACACUGGUGUGAAGAAUUAGUACUUUCUGAGACUCAGACACAACAGUAAUAUAGACCAUGUAGAAUUUGGGUUAUACAGACCAAAAAAUGAAAAUGGAAACUGCAUCCCUGGACAAGAGUCAGGUAGUUUUGUUUAGUAGGUCAUACAAAUGCACUUACAUACACCUCUAGCAAGUCUAAGAACAUACUUUCUCAUGGUGCCUAUCUUUUUUUGAUACUGUUCAAUAUUGAAAACUUAUACCAUAUUUAAAUAAUAGCAAUAAAAGAAGGUAUGUUUACAGAGCCACUGUAUUCAAUAUGGACUCAUUUUUUCCUGUGCUGGGGAUAAAUGCUGGGGCCUUGCGCAUGUCAGGCAAAUGCUCACCACUGAGCUACAUCUUCAGCCUCUGGCUUUAUGAGUCACGAGAAGAGAGCUUAGUUUGGAGAACAAGAAAUUUGGGCUGUUUUGUUAUUUAAAGUGAAAACUGGCUUAGGGCUUAGAAAGAGGGAAAGGAUUAUGGUAAGAUGUUACAGAUGUGGGCCGGGGAUUUAGCUCAGUGGUUCCAGCGCCUGCCUUGCAAGCACAAGGUCCCGAGUUUGAUCCCUGGUACCAAAAAAACCAAGAUGUUACAGAUUCAAUAUUAUCGCUUACCGUUCAAUGAAAAUACUGGACCCCUUUCUCUACACAAAUUAUUGUAGUUUUAAAAAUGGAAUCCGGUUGUUUUAAAUUGGUUUUUAAUUAGAAUAAAGAGAAAAGAAAGUAAAAUGGAAAUGAGAGUAUGAGGAAAAGCUACAAUGUACAACUGCUUAAAAUGAGACUACAAAGGGCACUGUGAG